rnacentral:rRNA from 1 species
UACGAAGGGUGCAAACGUUGCUCGGAAUCAUUGGGCGUAAAGCGCACGUAGGCGGCCUGUUAAGUCGGAUGUGAAAUCCCUCGGCUCAACCGAGGACGUGCAUUCGAAACUGGCAGGCUCGAGUAUGGAAGAGGGUCGCGGAAUUCCCGGUGUAGAGGUGAAAUUCGUAGAUAUCGGGAGGAACACCAGUGGCGAAGGCGGCGACCUGGGCCAAUACUGACGCUGAGGUGCGAAAGCCAGGGUAGCGAACCGG